UUUUGGACAAUGGGGGCAACCCUGAUGCAGCAACGCCGCGUGAGGGACGACGGCCUUCGGGUUGUAAACCUCCUUUAGCAGGGAAGAAGCGAAAGUGACGGUACCUGCAGAAAAAGCACCGGCUAACUACGUGCCAGCAGCCGCGGUAAUACGUAGGGUGCAAGCGUUGUCCGGAAUUAUUGGGCGUAAAGAGCUCGUAGGCGGUUUGUCGCGUCUGCUGUGAAAACGCGAGGCUCAACCUCGCGCCUGCAGUGGGUACGGGCAGACUAGAGUGCGGUAGGGGAGAUUGGAAUUCCUGGUGUAGCGGUGGAAUGCGCAGAUAUCAGGAGGAACACCGAUGGCGAAGGCAGAUCUCUGGGCCGUAACUGACGCUGAGGAGCGAAAGCGUGGGGAGCGAAC
rnacentral:rRNA from 1 species